rnacentral:lncRNA from 1 species
CACCGCCAUCAGCAAGUGCAGCUCCGCCCGGACUCCCACGGGAGCCGAGCUCCACUGUCGACAUCAGCGCAGCUCCGCCCGGACUCCCACGGGAGCCGGGCUCCGCUCUUAGUAUCAACGGCUGGUAAGCUCAAUCCGGACUCCUAUCAGAGCCGGAUUUCACCCUUAACUUGGUUUGCAGUGCAGCUCCGCCCGGACUCCUACGGGAGCCGGGCUCCACCACCAUCAGCAAGUGCAGCUCCGCCCGGACUCCUACGGGAGCCGAGCUCCACUGUCGACAUCAGCGCAGCUCCGCCCGGACUCCCACGGGAGCCGGGCUCCGCUCUCGGUAUCAACUGCUGCUCCGCCAGGACUCCUACAGAAAUCGGGCUCCGGUCGUUACCGAGCUCCAAUCGACAGAUCCGCGCCUCCUGAUAGGCCCUCAAAAUGGCCACGACCCUGCUCCACUUCCUGUGGCGGACUCCGCACAGUACCAUCAUUCCCUGACAAGCUGCAGUGGCCAUAGCCGCCCUGCUCCACUUCCUAUGGCAGACUCCGCACAGCUCCACUAUCCCCUGGCAGGCCACAGUGACGGCCACGAACCUGCUCCACCUCCUGCGACGGAUACCAUGCGAUUCUCCUGACGACGGAUGCUGCUCCACCCCUCAUAACAGACUCCAUGUGGCGGGUCGAGGUGAUGCCCACGUAUCUGCUCCAUUAUAUUUCGCAAUCAAUUCCCCUGACCAUGGGCGGCCCACUACCAGGC